UGCUUUAUAACUGCUACUCACCUGUUAUCCUUCAUCCAACAGCAUGGGCUUUAUCCUCCUUUUUAACUGCACUUGCCUCAUUGUUGGGUAUGCAGCAGAG